UCACUGUAAGGUGUUCUUUGUUGCAAAUCAAGCGUCAAGCGCAAUUAAUGCUCAAGUACAAAUCUGGAAAUGUUUCCAAGAAGGAUUUCCAUCCUGGAGUUUUUAAAUUGCGUUCGCCCUGUUGUGAGCCAAAGCAAGGUUGAAAUACAGCGCGGAGGACUGAACAGGCAUUACCACAUGGUGCUGAUUGUGGUUAGCACUGCAAUAGCUUUCAUUACACGGAUCAUUUGAGAAGACAGGUCACACAGGAUGGCAGAGAGGGACACUGAUGAGUGCAGUGUUCCUUCAAGGCUCAGCUGGAAAACUUCCUCUCUGAAAACUGAGGGAACUCGUGCUUGACAAAAUGCCCUAGCAGCCAGGGAAGCUCAGUCAAACCGCUGCAUCUGCUGUCUGGAAAACACAAGAACACGUGUGUCUUUGGCAAGCUGAAAGCCAUUCCUCCCCUACGCAGCUCAGACCAAAAUGAAAUUUUGACUGCUUCUUUCCUCCUACUGCAAUGGCUCGGUGCUCCUGCUGGACAGCUACAGAUUGCUAACUGUUCCUGGCACCGGAUGCCUCCGCAUGGACGUGAAGCCAAGAAGCCAAGAGAGAAACCAUAUUGCCAAGUCCAAGUAUUCUGAAAUUGCAGCAACCUUUUCCCUACACAAAAAGUGGGUUAUUAUGUGUAUUUAUCUUCUGUUGCUCCGUGUUUUCAGUAAACACAUUUCAAACUCUUCUCUGUGAUCAUGAUUUUAUUCUCGAUGGAAGUUGGAAAUUCUUGCACACCCAUACAAUUCCUGCACCUGAGGCUUUAAGAAAAAAUACUGAUGACUGCAGGAGCUGGCAGCAAAGAGGGAAGAGGAAGAGGAGACGGAGGAGGAAAUAAUCUCAUUCUCUCACCUGCAGGAGCGGAAUCUGAUCCCUGCUGAUGUCUGGUGAUAGAGAGUGCAUCAGAGAGGGAAAGGAAAUGGGAGAACCAGAGGCGAGAAGAGGUAGCCCAUAGGAAGACAUAAAGAGAAGGAAAUACUUUGGGUUAGUGGAGAAGGUCAUCAGGCUACACAGCCUUCAGACAUCUGCCCAAAUCAGUUUGAAACUCCUGACCACAGGCUUACCUCACCACUGAGUAUUUUUUGCAUUCCAAAACGAGAGGUGGGGAAGGGUGUCCUUCCUGCUCCUGUUUAUCUGAGUCACACGGAUAAAACCUAAUUUUGUCUAUAUCCAACUGUCAGCAGUGCGGGAAACAACACGUGUGGAGGCAGAAAAGGAAAUGUGGUACAAGAGCCUCACAAUUGGAAGUGAGGGCUGUACCUGCCUUUUCAUCUUACAGAACACAAUGUGAGCUGUUACUCUAGUAAUCCAUGAAGCACUUUGUGCGUGCAGAGCCACACAAGGUUACUAACUGAAGGAUUAAAACUUAGUGUAGACAAAUGUUAAUGAAGUGAAGGAACUGUUACUGAACUUUUUGCAUUCUGCCUUUGAGUACAAAGCAACAUUAGUUUUGUGAAGUACAAUGAUAAAACUACAUACACUUUCAAGCUGUGACAUCAGUUUUCUAUUUCUGCACUAUUGUCACCAGUGAAAGUGGAAACACUGCAUAGAGUGUGGGUCCUCAUUCUGCAUGUAGUUCACUCUUGAACAGUGUGCCACUUCUUUUUGUUUCUUCAGUAGAUUGGAGAGGAUGAAGUUUAUGUUUCUGUUUUCAAGUGUUGCUUCCCCCACGAGCAGGAAAUCCUCCCUCCCUCCACGUUUUAAAAUAGCUGACAGUGCCCCCAAUUAAUUGCAUAUCAAACUGAACUUCUUUUUCCUGGCCUACGUGACUGUCCUCCCCUCCUCAAUAGUAAGCCUGUUUUCAUGUGCAUGGUAAGAAUAUUGAAAACAUCCCCUAUCUAGCAAAACAAGAACUCCUCUGGGAAGGUGCAUGUAGAUGAAAUGGCAGCAACUGAUGUGGCAGUCACAUUCCUCAUGCACUGCUGAGACAUCUUCAGCUACUGCCAUCACAAGAUAAGAACACAGAUAAAAUAAAUAGUUCUACAUGGAACUACUGUUGACCUAUUUUUAUUUUUUUUUACUUAUUCUUUCACCAUCACUGAACUCCUCCAAACUUUUAAACUAAGCCCUUUUCCUAGUUUAAAUCCCUUCCAAAAAUACAUUAAAAAAAAUCUGUAUUACCUAAGAACAUAGCAGUCUGAAUGGCUCCUCUAGUUAUAUCCCUAUAACCUUUGUCCUCCCCUCUAAUCCUUCCUUGCUUUUUGCCUGUUAAUGAUUCACAUUUAUGGUACCCUUGUCCAGGAUCUGUCCAAAUCUCUCUUCCUAUCUCUUUACAGCUUUCUUUUUUUUUCUUUUUCUUUUUUUCAGUGUGUGGGUUAUAUUUUUGGGUUUUCGGUGAUUCCUUUCCUCCUCCUGCACUUACUAUUCCAGAAUAGGAACUCAAAACAGCAGGCAAGUCACCAAUGAGGAGUGUAGCACAGAACACACUUGAGAAAGCAGCAGUGCAAACUGUUGUGGCUUUAUUCCUGAAUGCAGGGCUUGUCACAAAUGUAUGCAAGAAGUCCAUUGACUUCUGCAUUAAGUGCCUGAUUUUACUGGCUGAUCUGUAUCCUCUUAGUGCUCUUAUCGGGAAAGAUGAGACACCGCACUGAGACUGCAUGCAUUUGUCAGCUCACUUCCUCCUCAUUUAAAACGAUUCGCAAAAGAGAAGGUGACAACAGAUGAAGAGUAAACAAACUCCAUCACUGCAUUCUGCAGAACUUCUGUCUCAUUCUAUUUCUGCAGAGAUGACAGGUGUGUGUCUAUUAGCCACUUUUCUACAUUCUCUCUUCUACAAAACUCAACAAACCCAGCUUUACCUUGGAAGAAAAAAAAUCCAACCUGCACUAACCCACAGGAUUUUGGUUUUAAUUAAUAAAUUAGUGUGUUCUUGGGUUAACAAUUACCUUCCAAAACAAUUACUUUCCAUCCUUUUCUAUCUUUUCUUAGCACCUUGGAAGCACUACAACUGCUUGAAGGAGCUUUAGGAACCUGGCAGCCCUGUGUACUUUGGAAACUAACAUGGCAGGACUGUGGGAUCAGGGUUCAGUUCUCAGCUCCACCACCAAGCCCCUUGGCGACCUUCACCUGAGCUCCCUGUCUCUGAGUGGCUGUUUUCCACCUGCAGCAUGAGCUGCGCUUCCUCACAAGGAUGUUAUGAAGUAAUAAGGACCUUAGGACGUGCAGAUGUACGAGCACCUAAGCGGGUAGGCUAAAUCCCACUAGUUCAUGUAUUUACUUGUCUUGAAACUCAACUAAGAGUGAGGUGAGUUAGGUCCCUUCCAACCCAAACCAUUCCAUGCUCGGUCUCCUCCAGUGAGCUUUGCUCACAGCUUAAUGCUCCAUGUAUCAGCAGCAGGCUUCCGUUCCCUUGGUGAAGCAGGCUCCUGGCCGGCUGCGAGGACCCGACCUCUGCCACCUGCUCAGCACUGCAUGACACCGGCCUGGUCUCAUUGCUGUGGAUGUUGUCAUGGAAUGGAGAUCCAGGCUGUCACACAAAACCCGCCUUGGGCUCUGAAGGACGGUCUCUGACAGCUCCCGACCUGCUCUCUGCAUGGAACUACAAAAAGGGCUGCAAAAAAAAGGUGGGUUUUCAAGCACUGUCUUCCAAGGGCCCCGAUUCCGGAAACAACUCAGCGCCCCGAACCCAACGCCUGUGUCAUACACACUUCGCUCUUUUCGCAGCCCCUGCACUCCCCUUUUCCCGCUGUUCACGGUGCCGUUCCCUGCCAUUCCCGAACUGGCGGCUCAAAACAAAAAGCUCCACUUCCGAAGGCGCUCCGGCGCCUCAAAG